GUGUAGUGAAGUGGUAAGUAGCAGGGCUCAUAACCCAGAGGUUGCCGGUUCAAUUCACUGCAGUUACACA